UACGAGAGGCCCAAACGUUAUUCGGAUUUACUGGGCUUAAAGAGUUCGUAGGCGGCGCGGAAAGUAGGGUGUGAAAGCCCUCGGCUCAACCGAGGAAUUGCGCUCUAAACUACCGUGCUUGAGGAACCUAGAGGUGAGCAGAACUGAUGGUGGAGCGGUGAAAUGCGUUGAUAUCAUCAGGAAUACCGGAGGCGAAGGCGGCUCACUGGGGGUUAUCUGACGCUGAGGAACGAAAGCCAGGGGAGCAAACGGG
rnacentral:rRNA from 1 species